AUUGAACGCUGGCGGCAUGCUUUACACAUGCAAGUCGAACGGUAACAGGUUAAGCUGACGAGUGGCGAACGGGUGAGUAAUGCAUCGGAACGUGCCCGAUCGUGGGGGAUAACGCAGCGAAAGCUGCGCUAAUACCGCAUACGAUCUGAGGAUGAAAGCGGGGGACCGUAAGGCCUCGCGCGAUCGGAGCGGCCGAUGUCAGAUUAGGUAGUUGGUGGGGUAAAGGCCCACCAAGCCGACGAUCUGUAGCUGGUCUGAGAGGACGACCAGCCACACUGGGACUGAGACACGGCCCAGAAUACUACGGGAGGGAGCAGUGGGGAAUUUUGGACAAUGGGCGAAAGCCUGAUCCAGCAAUGCCGCGUGCAGGAAGGAGGCCUUCGGGUUGUAAACUGCUUUUGUACGGAGCGAAAAGGUCCUUUCUAAUACAAGGGGCUCAUGACGGUACCGUAAGAAUAAGCACCGGCUAACUACGUGCCAGCAGCCGCCGUAA
rnacentral:rRNA from 1 species